rnacentral:lncRNA from 1 species
GUCUCUGCUCCUCCGAACUCUCCCUCUCCGACCUUCCCUUUUCCUCUCCGCCACCGCCAACGCCGCCGUUCUCUUCCUCUUACCCAAGCUGAGAAACCCACUUCCCCGAACCCGAAGAACCUUCUCCAAUUCCACCGCCGCAGCCACCUCCAUCGACUCCGUAGUGAAACCGCCUCCUCUUCCUCUUCCUCCGUCUCUUCUCAGGUGGGUUUCUCGCACAGAGCUUUGCGGUGAGUUAUCAGUCGAAGACGUUGGAAAAAGAGUCCACCUUUGCGGGUGGGUCGCCCUCCACCGAGUCCACGGAGGUCUCACUUUCCUUAACCUUAGAGAUCAUACAGGCAUUGUCCAGGUCUUCCAUCUCAACUAAAGUCUUCAACUUUGUAUAUUAGUAUUUAGAAAGUUUCUUCUUACCAAUGCACUUAAGUUGUGUUCGAUUCUAUUCAUUUUGGGACUUUAUGUUUUGUUAAUGUUCGAAAGUUUUAUAAUUAUUAGGUUAGGACGCUUCCUGAUGAGUUUCCUGAGGCGCACGGGUUGAUCAAUGACAUGAGACUUGAGUACGUUGUUUCAGUGGAAGGUACUGUUCGUGCUAGACCAAAUGAGUCCAUCAACAAGAAAAUGAAAACAGGAGUUGUUGAGGUAUAUGCUUUCUCUUCUUUCAUUCAGCUCACUAUAUGUUUUGGUCUUUCUGAAAGUUAGUAGGUUGUUGCAUUAGGUAGUUGCAGAGCAUGUUGAAAUAUUGAAUCCUGUGAGGUCAAAGCUUCCCUUCCUCGUUACUACUUCUGACGAGACAAAAGAUUCGAUUAAAGAAGAUAUUCGCUUAAGGUGAAAUAUUAGCUAUCUUUCAUGGUUGGUCUUUUUUUUUUGCUUUGAAGCUCCAAGUGCUUAAAUGAUGCUUUUGGAUUUUGUUUGUUUAUUGGUAGGUUUCGAUGUCUUGAUCUACGCCGUCAGCAGAUGACGAAUAAUAUUGUUCUUCGCCAUAAUGUGGUAAAACUGAUUAGGAGGUAUCUAGAAGACUUGCAUGGGUUUAUUGAGGUACUUCCUUCUCCAUUUGAAAGAGGGUCUGCACAGUUCUUUUGGUCUUACCUAGUUUUUGUUUUUCAUCUUGGUUUGUUGUUUGUGUUAGAUUGAAACUCCAAUACUCUCUAGAUCAACUCCAGAAGGCGCUCGAGAUUAUUUGGUUCCCUCAAGAAUUCAGGUGCAUUUGUACUUCUUUUUAUCUUGAUUUAUUCGCUUUAGAGAAUGAAGAAGCUUUAAUCAUAGUUUAUAGACUGAUUCUAUCAAAUGUCUCUUUCGAAGUCAGGAACAUUUUAUGCUUUGCCCCAAAGUCCUCAGCUCUUCAAACAAAUGUUAAUGGUCUCUGGGUUUGACAAGUAUUACCAGAUAGCAAGGUAUGUAUGAAUAUGAUCUUUGGCUCUAAAGCAUGGUCUAGAAUAAGACUCCCUAGCAUACGUGGCGCAUCAUGCAAAUGAUUUUUCUUUGGUACUUAUCAGAUGUUUUAGAGAUGAAGAUCUAAGAGCUGAUAGGCAACCUGAAUUCACUCAGCUUGAUAUGGAAAUGGCUUUCAUGCCUAUGGAGGACAUGCUCAAGCUGAAUGAGGAUCUUAUUCGUAAGGUAAGGGCUCCAUUGAGCUAUGUUGAUGAUGUUUUAAUCUUGUUACUUCGUAAUGUGUUUUGCGUCCUGUAAUUCUGUUCCUCAUUUUCUUCGUGAAUCUCUUCACUUUAGUGAUAUUUUGGUAGUGCGUUAGAGAGCUAUUUUCCAUAUUUUGUACAGAAGCUGUGAAGUCUAUUUUAAUGUUUAAACUCCCAAGUUUUUGAAAUUGCAGGUGUCAAAUGCUUUCACAGAAUCGUCUUUCAGGGUUUUCACGGAGACCCUUGAAAGUGUUAUGUGUACCUUUGGGUGCUAAAAAAUAUUCAAACUCAGCUCUCAAAAAAGGAGAUGUUUACAAUGAAGCAAUAAAAUCUGGAGCGAAGGGUCUACCGUUCUUGAAGAUCCUGGAUAAUGGUAAAUAGAUAUAUCAUGCCUACUGCUAUAUCUCUGUCAUUCUUUUAUAGUAACAUUCAGUUCUGAUUAUAUCUAAACUUCUGAUGCAGGCGAGGUCGAGGGAAUUGCAGCAUUAGUGUCUAGUUUAGACCCAGAGGGUAAAGCAAACAUUGUGAGACAAUGUGGAGCAAAGCCUGGUGACCUUAUUUUAUUUGGAGUUGGUCCUGUUACUUCUGUUAAUAAGACCCUAGACAGGUUAAGACUUUUUGUUGCCCAUGACAUGGAUUUGAUUGACCAUGUAAGUUCCUCAAUUAUCCAGUCCAUUUUUUUCUCUCUCUUAAUGAUAUUUUAUAAGAUUAAUGACAUAUCAUGUUUUAUUAUAUAGUCCAAGCACUCCAUUCUGUGGGUAACAGACUUCCCAAUGUUCGAGUGGAAUGAACCAGAGCAGAGGCUUGAGGUCUGUGAGUUCUUAAUCUGAUAUCUUUGCAUGAGAUGAGAUUAAUGGCCAAAUAUGUUGUUUGCUAAUAUGAAAUUACCUUUUCUCUCCAGGCAUUACAUCAUCCAUUCACAGCUCCUAGGCCUGAAGAUAUAGAUGACUUACCUUCUGCAAGAGCUCUCGCUUAUGACAUGGUCUACAAUGGGGUCGAGGUAAACAAAACAGCUUGGCCAUUUACUUUUUUAUGAAACAAUGGUUUGGGAGAUUUCUUUGAUACGCUGUCUUAAUUUAUAAUAGAUUGGUGGAGGAAGUUUAAGGAUAUAUAAGCGGGAUGUCCAAGAAAAGGUUUUGGAGAUCAUUGGCAUCUCAGCUGAAGAAGUGAGACUCAUUUUCUAAAUUGACAUCUACAGAUUGUAAGCCUUGUCUCAUGUUUUCUUUUCCCUGCAAACAGGCUGAAGCGAAGUUUGGCUAUCUUCUGGAGGCUCUUGACAUGGGUGCUCCUCCUCAUGGUAUGUAAAUUUACACAGGCUUCAUUGAUUCAACGUGUCCUUUCAUGUGUCGGGAUAUUUAACGUACACCAUAAUCAACCCGUCACUUUCUGCCUUGGAUCUUUAAGGAAAAAUGGGAUUAAAUUUGUCUGACACUUUGUUCAAUAACUUGAUGGCACUCUUGUGAUGAUGCUGUUGCUGAAGAAGAUUGUUCAAGCAUGGUUGAUGAAGCAUUAGUAUUUGAUAUGUUAUUUCAGGUGGAAUUGCUUAUGGAUUGGAUAGGAUGGUGAUGAUGCUGGGAGGUGCGAGUUCCAUAAGGGAUGUAAUAGCUUUCCCAAAGACAACCACAGCGCAGUGUGCCUUAACCAGAACUCCCUCUGAAGUCGAUCCAAAGCAGCUCCAAGAUCUCUCCAUCCGCACCAAAUAAUAGCUCUGAGAAGAUGAUCAAGUAGAGAUGUGGUAAUAAUAGUAUAUCGGAGGCAAACCUCUUGUCCACAUCUUCUAUAUAUCCUUAACACCAUUGGUUAUUGAUUUUACAGAAAUUUGUAUGGAUAUUAGUAUAUUACUUUUUGAAACGAUAUUUGAAGAGUUCCCACUUGAACAUAAAAGAUAAAAAAAUUACCCACAAUAAAUUUUUUGAGUUGCUGAUUAUUGAUGUAUCUUAUCUAUACUACAACACGUGGAUCUUGUUCAGAUAUUCAUGUCUUCCUACGGGUGGAGAGAGAGGGAAAACAGACUGAGCUUCGAUAAAUCUACAGAGAGAGUUUAUAAUAAGGGAACAAAGAGGGCAAACUUUGGAGAAAAGAAAGAGUGCAAAGGACAUUGGCAAGGCCCAGACAGAAGAGGGUCAACUGGUCAAGCGAAGACUACUCCCUCAUUUUAUUAUUUAUUUAUUGGGGAAUUAAUUUACAAUUAUUGACAAAAUUUUAUAUAAAUAUUUGCUGUGAUAAUUAUGUAAUCUUUUGAAAUAUCCUCAAUUAUCAGAACUCAUUCUAAAUUUGUAAUCGUGAAACUGAAAAUAAUUUUGGAAAAAAAAACAUGUCAUUUUUUUGUUUGGAAUGGUGAAUCCUCUAUGUAGAUGUAGUACGUAGAUAUUGUUCCUGGUUAUAAUAGCACAACCUUGUAUGUCUUGAAAAAGGAUUUAUAACAAAAAUAUACAUUUCCAAACAAAAAAAAUCUUUAGAUGACAAAACCUAAAAUUAAAUAGAACUAUAAAGGCAUGAUCACUGAUAAAAGAAAUAUUUUAAUAUAAUAUAAUAUUAAUAAAUAAUAACGAAUAAUUAUAUUAAAAUAAGUAGGUUAAUUUUAAACUAAAAGAAAAUUUGUACAAUUACAGAAUGGAAGUUUCUAGCAAAAUUUUAAAGUAUCUAAAUUAAAACCCGUUUUUCAUAUUUCUCUUACUUUUUUUUCAGAAAGUAAUUCCACGAAAUCCAAUGAGAAACUUCCGUUAUUAGUAUCCUUAGAUAUUCAAUUAAUCUGAUUAAGAUGCUUUGUAAGAGAAUGAUUUCAGCAUUGAAAACUUAAUAUGUGUAUGAGUCAUUCUUGAAGUGGUCAAAGUGGACUAGACAAUGGAUCAAGACCACAACAGUCUAAGAAAUAUAUUUGUUGAUUGAGCAGGUAGUAGUACACAUUUGAUAUAUCGUCUUAUUUGUGCUCUUUUUUUUUAGGGUCAACCUGCUCUCUUUUUUUAAUAAAACAUAUGUAUUUUCUAAUUCCAAUUAAUGAGACCAAACUUUUAUUUUUGGUUCAAAGAUAGGAGAAUUUUCUAUAACUUACACAAAAUCAAAACAUAGGAAAAUUAGUUGAUGUCCCACACCAUGUGCAGACUAAUAUAUUUAUAUAUCUAAUAAUUUUUAAUUCUAAUAUUUAUUUUUAAUAAUUUCGAUACAAAUUUAGAUUAAUAUUAAAAUUAUAAAACUUCAAUAUUCAUACUGGUAAUCAAUGUGUUAAAUUACCUUCUUUUGUUUCAUAUUUUUAUUUAUGGGAUGUGGAUUUUGGAUCAAAAAUAUUUUCUAUAGUAAUAAUCAAAUUAGGAAACUUGGAUUUGAAAUUAAAUACUUAUUGUAUUUGGACUGAAUGUAUUAUAAUUAAUUAUAACCUAUAAAAUGUUAACAAAAUAACAAUAGCCUAGAAGUAUUCAAUCCGGUAAAACUGAACCAUUUAAAACCGAACCAAAAUGAAGUAAAUAGUUUUGAUUUGGUAGUAUCAAAUAAACCAAAUGCGUAUUAUUUUGAAAACUCUAGUAUAUGGACAUGGUUUAGGAUAUUAACCCAUCCAACCGAAUAAACCGAUUAAUUAAAAUAUAUUAGUAUAUUUAUAUAUAAAUUUAUAAUAAUCUGUAUUUUGAACAAUAUUUUCAAUAAAAAACAGAAAAUUGGCUAUAAUAAUAGUCAUUAAAACCAUAAACUAAAUAUAAGAUUAACAUAAUUAUGAUACUAUAUGUAGAUACUAUUAAUAUCAAUUGUUAAUAUAUAUUUAAUUAAAUGUUUUAAAUAUCAUAAUAAUUAUAUAUUAGAAUUUUAAAAAUAAUAGUAUAUAUAUAGGUAGAAUAGGUUAAUAUUUAUUAAUUAUCUUAAAAUAUUAUGAUAAAUUUAUAUAUUAAAAUAAAAAAAUUAAAUAAUAUUAUAAGUUAAACUAAUGACUUAUCCUAAAAUUACGGAGAAUAUGACAACUAAACAAAUUCACUAAGAUCAUGGAAAAUAUGAUAAGGAAGUAAAUUCACUUAUCAAAUAAUAGUAUAGAUUUCUCAUUGUGUCACGUUUUCAAUUGACUAUAACUUACACAAUUUCAAAACUUCGCAGAAUUUUAACUUUAUCCUAAGUUUGCUGCCAAUUUUCAAAUUUACUUUUGUUUGAAAGAUAGCUAUUUUCAUAUAUACCUUAAAUCUGUGAUAAUAUUAAAAUAACUUUCCUAAAACAUUUAUAAAUAUUAAAUAAUAAUUUAUAAAAGUUAAUAAACCCAAUCACACCUUUAAAUACUAAAAAUCCUAAACACAAAUGUUAGAGUAUUUGAUUAAAAUUUUUUUUUGAGAAGUGGUAAUCGGCAUAUUUUAAUCAAUUUCUCUCAAAACAUUGUGAAAUGUACGCACGUUAUCUAUGCUUUUAGACAGGUCCGGCUCUGGCCCAGUGCUGGAGGUGCAUUUGCACAGGGUCCAUUUUUUUUUUAACUUUUUUCAGCUUAGUUUAGGAUCCUGUUAAAAAAAGUUUUUGUAUAAAGAAAUAGGUGUCAAAAUUUGUGUAGUACAUGACCUAUUUUAUGUUUGAGACGGGCUUGGUUUUAGAUGUGCAAAAGGUGAUAUAUAUGUUUUUUUUUUUUUAACUGAGGUGAUAUAUAUGUUCGUAGAGCUGACAGUGAUGACUAUCUAGGACAGCUAGGGGGGAUGGAACAAUAUUUCUAAAAUUAUUAGUUUUGGCUGUGGAUUAUAUAUUUUAGAGUAAAAAACUUGUAUUUUUGGUUCAAAGAUCGAUUUCUUCCAUCAAUCGCCUAGUUCUCGAUAACCAAGGUGAUGAAAUAAUAGCUAGUUCAGAAUUAUGUAUUUCUAGAAAAAAAAAACAGCAAAAUGAAAACGGUACAUCGAUCUAUAUUAGAAAACAUAUUAUAGAGAAAAUAAAAAUUAAGCUAAACGUUUGGAAACUCUUUAAAAAGGAUUCAACUAAUGGUUUGGAAACGCUUUCAUCAAAAUGCAGCUAACGAUUUUGAAAUUCUUGGCAUAUUAUCACAACUGAAAAAAAGGAGACUUGUACAUACUACAUAGCAAACAAAGCAAGUGCAUGCCGUAGCAUUGCAGUUUUCUUAUUCCAUUAUAGAAACACACGCAUAAAUAUGGUACAAAAGACGACCGGACCAAACAAACCAAUCAUUAUUAGCUUAUAUAUGAACAACAUAGAAACAAACAAUAAACACAUAGACUUGGAAACAUAUUCAAAGGAGGGGGGAUCAUAGGUUAUUUCCUUUUAGUAAGGCCACUGGCCAACAAUGUUACCGGGAGGAUCAUAGUUGCAAGUAAUAUAGGUUCCACCACUGAUGCAGCUCACUUUUGCGAGUCUGCCCAAUGGUAUCGAUAAGAGCCUGAGGUACCGGAACCAAGUGAUCAUCUUCUACAUUCUCAUUAGCCUAAUAUACAUUAAAAAAUUGUCACUAUAUAUAUCUAGCUAUCUUGGAGAAUACAGUUUCAAAUAACAGAAUCACACAGGUUUGUAAUUACCUCGAAAUAACUCGCAACCAACUCUGAAGCUUUCCGUCCGGAUAACUCAUGUCCAGCAUCACCGAGGAGCACAAAAGACGCCUGAUCAUCACUAUCAUGCACAGAUAUCUUGGCCAGGUACCUGUGGCAUGUGCAGAGUUAUAAGUAGUGCGUUAAAGUAUAAGAAUAAGUACAGCUGAGUCACUUACUGUGCAUCACCAACAAUUUCGGUUUUCCCACAUUUCCUACACAUAAGGGUGGUAGGCCCUUUGGUUGCCUUAGUGUGGCACCCACCACAGCCUAUGUAAUACCAGGAUGAACCGUGCACAACAUCAGCAAUGGUUGCUAUGCACUCAAACCAAGCAACCUGCAAGAUGUUAAACAAUCAAAUAAGAGACUAAGACUAUCAUAUUGAAUGCGUUAUUCAUUGAUAUUGUAUAACCUUGGCAUCUUCCUGCUUCAUAUAGGAAAAGAGAUCGCCUAUGGUCACUGUCUCAGUCUUGGUAACAACGUCUGCAUUCACUCUGUUGGCAACAGCUAAGUUCGCGUUCAUCCUGAAGCAACCGUCCAAACAUCAAUUACAUCGUGGAAUAACAGCAGCCAAAAUUUAAAUAAAGAACGCUUACAAAGUGAGAUACUCUUCGGUUUCUUGAACAUCAGUGUCUAAAAAUACGCGUGAUGACGUCAUAGAAGAGAGAGCUAGGGCACCUAUAACAGAUCCAUUGUUAUAAUACAUAUGAGAAGUUUUAAUGUAAAAUGAGAUGUAUAAAUAUGUGUAUCUCUCUAUUUGCUAUCUCUGAACCUAUCGGUUACUCAUAGCUAUUAUGCUCCAAUUUAUACCAAAAGCAGUUCUACUACCAAAGCUAAUCUAAGCAGAUAAGAUUCCUUGACCAUCAUAUGUACAUCUUAAACAAUAAAAAAAGAUUACUAAUACGGACCUCCAAAUCGUUUCGGGUUUAGAGUAGUGACCAAAACAACACGUGCGGUUCCUCCAGUUGCUUUAAAUUUCUCACUAAAAUCCGAUGCAACCUUGUCCCAUAGGUACAACUUGAUCACCGGAUCACUAUAACAUAAAAACAUGUGUAUUAAGAGAGACAACAUGUGAAUAUGAAAAAUUACAAAUUAGCUUACUCAUGUGUUUGAACAUGGAGUAGGACGCGGCGUGAUGAAGCUAUCUCGGCAUCAUCUAGCAUGAGACUAUCACUGAGAACCUGCCCAUUCACAAGCUUGAUAUGGCCAACAUAAUCUGCAAGAUAAAAAAACAUACUCAAUGCUUCAUAUAUCAGAAACCCAACAAUGAAACCUAAAAAUUGUAAGUGUAGAUCAAACCAUUAUUCUAGACAAAGAAUCCUGAACAUACUUGAUUGAUUUAAACGCAUUAUAUAAUAGUGGGAACUUACCAUAAAGAUCCCCUUUCAAGUCGCAGGCAGCAUCGAACUCCUCAUAUCCAUGAAUCCGGAACCGGUCCUCAGGGAAACAAACCGGACUGUCCAUUAGAUCAGAGAGGACGGAACUCGAUGAGAAUGUGACGGUGAAACUUGGUUCCGCAACACGAUACAAAGUCUUGUUGUUAGACCCGUAAAAACUGUUGAGUCUGUAAAGGCCACCAACUCUCAAGCGUGCAAAUAAGUGUCUAUCCUCCCAGCUGGGAUGAAACCCUGGAUGACAGUCUCCUGGUUACAUCAGUAAAGAAAAUAAAUCAGAAAUGCAAAACAUGAAAUCUUUGAAACGCAUCAACAACAAUAUUAUAUUUACUGUUCUAUCAACAAAAGCAAACAUUUGCUUUAAAUUCAUAAAAAAUAAAAUAAUAGAACAGUAAGCUUGAAUCUAAAAUGUUUAUCAGCAUCUUGUAUGAACAAUUUCUAAACAAAACUGUAAGCAAGAAUUUGGGCUAUACCUCUUGUCGAUGAGAAGCAUCUCAAGACCGAGAAGCACCUUUGACACAACAUUCCGAGCUUCCCAAAAAUGGAUCAACCGAAACCUCAGCUCGCCGUCAUGAGACCCGUAUUUAACAUCUUUGAAAGCCACCAAUUCGGUAGAGACAAUGGCUUUUCCCCUGACGCUAGAGGAGACAGCGGCUUUGCCUCUAACUCCUGAAGAGACACCAGUCUUCGAGCUGUGAAUGAUCGUAUCUGCAUAGGAAUACAAACGUUUCCAUCAUCAAAAAGGGAACUAAAAAUCCACAAUUUCACAUGCUUUUCUAUUUUCUGUCGUAUAAAAAUUAUCUUUUUUUACAUAAUCAUUUUGUUCAUCGUCAUAGCUUCAUACUCUCUAUUUUUAUGGUAAUCAAACGGACUCUAUAAUUUCAUAAGGAAACGAUAAGGUUUCUUACCAUUGGGGUUCUUCGAUUUAGAUUCACCGAUAAAGACGCCGGAAGAGACAGCGGUUUUGCCGCUGAGUUUAGUCAGACCGGAGGUGACCGACGCUUCGCCUUUAGCUCGCUUAGAGUGGGGAUCGCCUAUUGAGUGGCCGGAUGAGACAUAGGGUGUUCCGAUGGGUUUGAUUGGUCCGGGAGAGGAGUCAGACUCAACGGCUUUUGGUUUUUCAGAGGUGGAUUUUCCGUAGGAACUCAUUGCAACAAAGCUUAAUCGAAAUAAGACUUGGAUCAAGAGUUGUAUAAAAAAAAUCCGAAGGAGAAAAGGCGGAUUAAGAGAUUUAUAAACAAAAUCUGGAGGAGAAAAGCAAAACGAAUCCAUAAAUGAGUGUAAAGAGAAAACGAAGUGGAGGAUGUAUUGAUUGUUUAGGGGGCAGAUCGCGAAACGGAUCGAAGAAGAGGAAGAGCAAAGGGAUGAAGAAUCGACAAAGGGGAUCAAAAAUCAUCUCGGGUAUUAGGGUCUGAGAAAUGCGAAAGAGAGGAUCGAAAUAGUGUGGUCGUGACUUUUUAUUAUGUGUUGGGCUUGAGGCCCAUUCGUAUCAAGUAUGUUUUGUUUUAAAAUAAACACGGUAAGCCCAACAGAGGCAACACACAAUGACAUGGCAAAAAUGGUAUAUCCGAUUGGUUGAUUAAAAUGGCUUACGUGGACAGCCUAGUUGAGGAGGAUAUCCCCCUUUUAUUACUUAUCUGAUUGGCCCAUUUAUAUGAUCUAUAUAAUUUUUUAAAUAGGUAAGAUGUUUUGUAUAUUUGUGUAAAGCCCAAUUCAAUAAGAUAAUAUGUUUGAUUUAAAUUAGGCAUGCGGGUUCGGGUAGUUCGGAAUUAGGAUAUAGUUUGAUUCGACCAAAAUCUGGCCAAAUUAAACUGAAAUUUUUUUGGUUCGGUUUGGUAUUCAGGUAGUUUGGUUUUAAAAAUUUUUACCGAAACUAACCAAAGUUUUUUAGUUUCGAUUAUAUUUCAGUUAAAAUUUGGUUAACUUCAGGUAAUUUUACUGAAACAAAGCAAUUACUGAACCGAGAACCAAAUGUUUUUUUAAACCUCUUGAAUGGAACCGAGCUUCUCACCAAAAUUUCAGUUUGGUUCGGUUCAACAUCUCAGGCCUCAUUUAAAUAGUAACUAAACUUAUGUUUUAAUUAUAUAAAUAACUGAUACCUUCAAAUUAGUGUCAUAAAAUGCCAAUUUACUAAAUUCAUUAUUUUUAUUACUUAUAAAUUUUGAUAAGAUAUUUAAAUAAUAUAUGAGUUACAUACAAAACAAUUUUCAAGUUAAUUGAUCUUUCAAAAUCAUCUAAUAAUCAAACGCAAAUCCAAAUAAGUACUACUAAAUAUAUAAUAAGAACCUACAAAUAUAUAUUGUGACAGUUUGAAACGAUUAAUUAAAUGACAAACAUCUAAACUAUAACAUUAUUGUGUUUACAAAGUCAUGUAAACAUUUUAAGAGAUGGUUGAUGUACAUAUAUUUGCACUAGUAUUAUAAAAAUAAGAAUAUAUAUAUAAAUAUGCAAACGAAUACCCACGGGGUUGCGCGGGUUAAAAUCUAGUUUUAAAUUACAAAACAAAUUUUACUAAUGAUAUGUUUAUGUAUUUUAUGGAGUAGUAGUGAGAUUUUGGGCUUUAAUAUAUCUAUCCCUAAUUCUAGUGUUUAAAUAUAAUAGAUUUUAACAGAACAAGAAUAUGUAAUAUAAUUUUAUCCAUCACAACCUAAAAGCUUAGAUUUGGUUAUUUAUAAUUUUGCAUAAGCUUUUUAUUAAAUAUAUUUCAAAUAAUACUAUCAUAAAAUUUAUAAAAUGUUGUAUGACACAAGUUCACAACAUCUACUAAAAUUUAAAAUAUAAAAACCAAAAUACUAUAAUUUAAAGUAUUUUGUAAAAUAAAUACAAAUAGAUCGAGGAAAUUGGAACACAUAUACAUAACAGAAAAAAUAAGUUUAUACACAUAAUAAUAAAUAUGCUAGAAUAUUAUGUAUAUUUUAUAUAAUUUUACAUUUCUUACCCUUAAUCAACUUCAGCUGUUUGAUCAUCCAUGCAUCUUUCAUCUUCUUCUUGCCUUUUUUCUUCUUUUCUCCUUCUCAAUUUAUUUGAUAUAUAUAUCUUUUGGAUCAAAUAUAUUUCAACCAAAUAUUUAUCUCGGUAAAAACAAACAUAUUUUUUACAUAUUUCAUAAUUUGAAAAAGUGUAAUCUGAUUUUUUAAAACGUAAAUUUCCAGGAUGUACAUAUUGGAAAUCAAAAUUCACUGAAUACCCAUGUAAUAAUAAUGAAGAGCGAUAUGACAUUUUGUCAUCAGAUUUAACCACUUUCACUUUUGUUGCACAAUAAAUCAUAGUUACACUAAUAUAUGUUAUAGUAUAGAUUCAAAAGUUUCAAAUUUAAAAUUAUCUCUCUCACGUGGGAAAAGUGUUGUGAUUUUGGAGAGACUGUUAGCCGCCACAGUGUAUUACGUAACGUUUAGAAACGUUGUUACUAGUAAUCACAAAAAUAAUUCAACAACCAUGUCAAUGUCACUUAUGUUAUUUUGUUAUUUUGUCUGCAACUCUUUCAAUCUAAUCUUCUUGUAUAAAUAUAUUAGAUGAUUAACUGCUCUUAUGAAUGGAGUAAUUUAUAUACUAAUGUUUAUUCAUUAUAUAGUUUUAACAUUUUGUAACAUUACAAUUUUUAUUGAUUGUAAAAUGGCGAAUACAAAUGUUGGUAUCUUAAAUGCAUCAUUGUUGUUGAAGAGGUAACGCUAAUACAACUCAUUUAAUUAUUUUUAAGACUUCAUAUGCACUAAACAAAAUUAAGUUUUACGGCUGACACAAAUCACAAAAACCAGAUAGGCAACAUCGAUUGUAAAAUGACGAAAAAGAUUAGGUUUUGUGCUCUCGAUUUGUUUACUAUUGACUCUCCAUAAGUGAUUUCAUUUGCUACAUUUAUAAAAUUGUGCUUUCAUUUUGUUUCACCAAUAUGAGUUUUGUUUUUUUUUUCUUAACUUCUUCAUUGAAUUCGGUGAAUUACAUAAGUUUUAAUUUAAAAAGAUGGACAUCUGUAAAAAUUAUUUUUAAUCCAUGUAAAUAUCUAAGAAUCAAAAAAUUUGAAGAAAAUCACCGGCAAACUCUAUUCACGGGUUAAUGUUCAAAUCUAAUAUAUCAAGCUGUUAUAAAAUAUAAGUGAUGACUCAAAAUAUAAAUAUUUGUUUAGUAUAUAUUCACAUGUUCAAUCUAAAAAUCAUAUAAUUCUAAACCAACAAAACAUAUUACUUAUUUGAGGUUUAGAUACUUAAGAAUAUACCGAUAAAAAAUACUUUACCAUUCUUGCAUAUGUAAACUUGUAUAAAAUAAGAGAUAUUUGAUUUAUUAAAUGAUAAAUCAGAAAACUUAUAAUAAAUAGUUCAAAUCUUUUAUUCUUACAAUUAUAAUAAUUAGAUAAGGUAUAAGGGAGAAACAAAUAUUAGACGAAUGAUCAAAUCUCUCAUUCUUCGAACAAACUCAAAAUAAAGUGAUUAGAAUCUUGUGACAAAAUGAGAAAAUGAGUUUUUGUAGUUACGGCGGGAAAACUAGUUUUGUGGUUUUGGUGGAAAACACGUUUUUACGAUUUAGGCACAAAAACAUAUUUUUGCGGGAAAACGAGUUUUGCAGUUUUGGCAGGAAAACUCGUUUUGUAGUUUUGGCGGGAAAACAUGUUUUGGCGGAAAACGAGUUUUUGCAGUUUAGGCGGAAAACGCAGUUUUGUGGUUUUGGCAGAAAACGCGGUUUUUCGGUUUUGGUAGGAAACGCGGUUUUGCGGGAAAACUGAUUUUUACAGCCGGAAAAUGCGUUUUUGCGGUUUAGGCGGAAAAAUGUUUUUUUUGCGGUUUUGGCGGGAAAACACGUUUUUUGCGGUUUUGGUGAGAAAACGCACGCGUUUUUACGGAAAAACUAGUUUUUCAGUUUUGGCGGGAAAUUGUGUUUUGUGGUUUUGGCGGGAAAAUGCGUUUUUGCGAUUUUGACGGGAAACAUGUUUUUGCGGGAAAACGAGUUUUUUGCGGUUUUGGCGGUAAAUCACAUUUUUGCGGUUUAGGCGGAAAAUGCGUUUUUUGUUUUGGGGGGGGGGAAUGCGUUUUUGGCGGAAAAAUGUGUGUUUGCGGUUUUGGCGGGAAAACGCGUUUUUCGGUUUUGGCGGGAAAACACAUUUUUGUGGUUUUGGCGGAAAAACUCUUUUUUUUUUUGCGAUUUUGGCGGAAAAACGUGUUUUGCGGUUUUGAAAUUGAAUCGUGGCCUUGGAUGAGAAUUUUGUUUACUAAUGUUUUUUUUAAUUGAAAUCUAAAUGGGUCAGAAUUGACUCAACCCAAUAGACCUAUUUAACUUGUUAACCCAUUAACCUGUUAAUCCAUUAACCUGUUAAUCCGUUAACCUAUUGGAUAAAAAAUAAACAGUUCAUUUGGGUUAAUGGGUCAUCUUAGAUUGGGUGAACCCAUGGGUCAUGACCCAUUUUGACACCCCUAAUCUUAUCAUGAUAUUUCAUUAAGUUUUUUUGGAAUAAAAAACAAGACAAAAAUAUUUAAUAUGAAUGAAAUAAUAUAUAUAUAUAUAUAUAUAUAUAUAGUGCUUCCAAUAUUGAAAAUAACUUCAAUUUAAAAAAAGUGUAUUUCUGGGAUUGACACAUGAUCAAAUAAUAUAUUAGAAAGCAUCUAUUAAAAAAAUAAUUUAUAUACAUAAAAAUAUAUACAUUAGAAUACACACAUAAAUCAAAACAAAUACCUUUUAUUUAUUUACAAUCAUGUUUUUGGUAAAUAAAUAAAACAAUCAUUUUAUUUACUUUAUAUGAUAUAUAAUUAUUAUUUUUGUGAUAUUGACAUAGAUAUAUAUAUAGUAUUUUCAAUAUAAAUAUUUAUCAUUGGCACUUCCUACUCAUAUGAUUUUAUUAAUAUUUGUAUAUUUGUUGUAACAAAAAUUAAAACCUUUAAUCAAACAAAACUUUAUCUGAGAUUUAUCAAUACAAAUUUCAAAAUUAAAAUAUUAAGAUCUCACAAUUUUUCAAUGCAAUUUUUAAAUUUAACAUAUUUUUAUAUAGUAUAUAAUUUAAUUUAAACGAUAUUAAUAUAUAUAUAUAUAUUAAUGAGACUUCAUAUUCAUACGAUUUAUGAUCAUUUUUAUCUUGCUUGAAUAGAAAAAAAUUAAACCAUUGAUCACAAAAUUUUCAGUGUGAGAUUUUUACAAUUUUUAGUAAUUUGUAGUCGUUUUAUAAAAUUUAAAAUAUAACAUAUAAAAAAAAUCUAAUUUUUAAUUAUAUAGUUAAUGUGAUUGUUUAUUUUCUUUUAAUAGUAUAAAAUUAAACAAAAAAAAAGAGAAUAUACAAAAAUUGUUAUCAAAUAUGUAUUAUUCAUAAUCAUUAAUUAUCACAUAUAUGUUAACCAUAUUAAGUAGUUCUGUAGCUUUUAUUUAAAAAAUAAAUUAAGAAUAUUUUUUUGUACACUAACCAGUUUGAUAGUUAGUUUAAUAAAAGAUUUGAAGAAUCGGUGAUGUCAUGCAGGGCCGGCUUGCAAGGGGGGACAAGCGGUGCGACCGCCCCGGGUCCGAGCCCGUGUCCCCACGUGUAAUGAUAAAUAAGGGACCCAAUUUUUUAUAAAUUUAUAUUUUUAUAUAUAAAAAAAUUAUAAAUAUAAUAAAUAAAAUUGAAAAGGGCCCAAAAUUAUUUGAUAUGUAUAUAGUUUUAUUUUCAUUACAAAAUAUACAAAAUAUUAUUGAUUAAAUUUUAAAAAUAUUUUAAACAUUAUCUUUAUAUAAAUUUUAAAGAGUAAAAAAAAUUUUUUUGCCCUAGGGCCCCUAUCACUGUUGAGCCGGCCCUGAUGUCAUGUACUCGAUUCUUCUCUGAUAUAUUAAUAAAAAGUAUAAUAUAUAUAUAUUUACAUGAACCAAUCUUCCAUCAAAAUUCUUCUCUGAUACAGGAUCUCUAGUUUCUAAAUUUUGACCCUAUACGUAAUACGUGUAGUGUCGUACUCAUAUCUCUCUAGCUCUCUCUUCUACGUUUAUGGCAGCGUUAGAGACUGUAGGGCAGUGACAAUUCCACCACUUGCGUGUGUAAGCGGAGAUAGAAUCUUAAAGGGAUCUUAAAAGUAUCUCCCUUUCUUCUUACCCAUCUCUCUCUCUAUUAAUGUUUGGGACUCUCGCUUCCGGAGAACUCGAAACCGCCAGAUUGAGGCGUGAUUUAGGGUUUUCAUGCGGUGGUAUAAGAAUGGAAGGCGAGCAGACGCAGAAACUCGUUGUGGGGUAUGCUCUGACUCCCAAGAAGAAAAAGAGUUUCUUGCAGCCCAAGCUUGAAGUCCUGGCUAGGUAACCAAACAUAACACUAAUGUUACAUACAUAGUUUUCAAAAUUGUGUUACAAUCUUCGAUGUGUUUUCUUGUCCUGAGACGAAUGUUCGUUUGAUUGGCGUAUAAUACUGAACCGACAAUGUGUUUUCUACUUUUAAAAGGAUAUUUAGGACUUUGACAUUUUCACUAGAUUUGGUUCUUGUUUCCUUACUCCUGUUUUGGUAUAGCUAUUGUUUGUUUGCAUGAUUCUAUUGUGGAGGACCAUAGCCACUAGCAAUUGUCUUGUCAUGUGCCAUGUUUUUGUCUUUAGCUUGCUUAGACUUACACUAGUAUACUUGUGGUAUCAGGAACCUUGUUUCUAUGGGAAUAUUCCUUCUUUUUAUCCUUUUGGAUUAGUCUCUGUUGGAGUUUGACUUUACCCUCCUUUAAAAAAAUGCACUUGAUAUUUUUCCUUUUCUGUGGCUUGGAAAUCUUCUUCACCCACAUGGGUUGUUUUAGUUAGAACAAUGACUAACUCUUACUUAAGAUUAUCUCAAACAAGGAUUCUAUAGUUCAACCACAUCCCACAUGGGUGUUUUAGUUAAAACAAUGACUGGUUCUAAUUAAAAAAUAUCAUGUUAAAGAAUCUCUCAAACAAGGAUUUUAUAGUUCAGGGAUAAAUCUUUCUUAGUGAGUCGGUUUGACGUCUGGUCUAGUACUUUUGCUUCUUUCUAAUCACCCCAUAGCUUUCAGGCUUUUUUCUUUUUACAGCAGAGUUUUUGAACAAGUGUUAACAGUACUACUUUUGUGUGUCUAUUUUAGGAGAAAAGGCAUUUGCUUUGUCCCCAUUGAUUUGAACCGUCCACUUUCUGAACAAGGGCCAUUUGAUGUCGUUUUGCAUAAGGUUUGUGAGAAUUAUAAGAAUGCUUUCAACUGAACCUUUUUAAAUAUGUAUUUCUGCUAAAAAUCUUAUGAUUUAUGAUUCUGCAUUUGCAGUUGCUAGGAAAAGAGUGGCAAGAUGUUAUUGAGGUUAGUGGCUGCCUUUUGGUUUGAGAGUAUUUUCCAUGUAAUGAGACUAGUGUGGGAAACACAAUAUCUUGUUUGACAAUCUCAUGUUUGUAGGAUUACCAGCAAAAACACCCGGAAGUGACUGUGCUUGAUCCUCCAGGUGCAAUACAACGUAUACAUAAUCGACAAUCGAUGCUUGAGGGUUUGGCAGAUUUGAACCUGUCUGAUUGCAGUGGUAAUCAUUCACAUUUGUUAUUUAUACAUUAAGAUCAACCACUUUUGUAAAUUUCUCUAUAAGUGAUUUUGGUAAAUCUUUGUAGGCAACAUUUUUGUUCCAAAGCAAAUGGUUGUCUUGAAAGAUUCAGCAUCUAGUGCUGAUAGAGCCGUAGAAGCUGGUCUUAAAUUUCCAUUAGGUAGAAAAAAUUUCAACAUAUAUAUUAUUUCCAAUAAACUUGGUCUAAACUUGAUUCUUGUAACUUUGUUCCAGUUGCAAAGCCACUCUGGAUCGAUGGAACUGCAAAAUCACAUCAGUUGUUCUUAGCUUAUGACAAGCGCUCGCUUGCAGAACUUGAUCCACCUUUAGUCCUGCAAGAGUUUGUUAAUCAUGGUACUAUUGUGUUUUACGUUACACUUUAGUAUGCAAUUGUCUCAAACUAUAGUAUGCAUCCUAAAUUCACUUUUUGGUGUCUCAAGGUGGAGUUAUGUUCAAGGUUUUUGUGGUGGGUGAUACUAUAAAAGUUGUGAGACGAUUCUCUCUACCGAAUAUUAGUAAUUGUGAAAAAGCCAAAGUUGAUGGCGUCUUCCAGUUCCCAAGGGUUUCAUCUGCUGCUGCUUCAGCCGAUAACGCUGACUUGGACCCUAGUGUUGCUGAGCUACCUCCAAAGCCUUUCCUAGAGGCCCUUGCAAAAGAGCUACGAAUCUUAUUGGUAUAUAAACUUGCUGCUUCUUCACAUUUUUUUUGCCAAUCAAGUCUGUUUUGUUUUAAGUUGUUGAUGCUUUGUUUUGAAUAGGGACUUCGGCUUUUCAACAUAGACAUGAUCAGGGAACAUGGGAGCAAGAACGUGUUUUAUGUUAUUGACAUCAAUUAUUUUCCUGGUUUGUAUUUGAAGCUUUUCUGUACGUAGUGUGAAUAUGAUUUUGUCAGAUAGAUGAACUUAUAGUCUUUGAAAUUACAUUUACAGGUUAUGCAAAGAUGCCAGAUUAUGAGCAAGUUUUUGUAGAUUUCUUCCACGAUAUGGCGCAAGUCAAACAGAAGAAGAGACAUUGUAAAUGAAGAGCCUCUGAACUCAUGCAAGGAGCUGUGAGAAAAGUAUAAUGACUAAACUAAUGAUGGAUUUGUACAGAAUUAGCUCUCAUCCCUUUUGGAAGCUUUAUGAGAUGACAAGUUUUGAUUAGUGAUUCUGAGUAUUUUUUCAACAACUCAAAACGUUUUAGAGAAGUUGCUAAGGAUUCGAAAAAAAAAGGAAAAAAAAAUUGCUAUAGGAUUCAUUUUACCACAAAAAGUCAUCCUCAAUAUUAGGCCUUACUCCUUAGCAAUUGUCAUUGAACCCGAAAUCUGAACCAAACACUAGCAAGGAAACUUAAAGAUUCAAUCUGCAAAAUAUAUAUUAUGUAAAAUGGUAUUUUGAAUUACGAAUAUUAUCCAAACUGGAAAUGAAUCCAAAAGAUACUCAAAAAAUUUGAAAAACCAAAAAAAAAAACUUGAUCUAAAAAUUGAAAUUAGUAUCCAAAUAAAUAGUGAAAACAUAAAUAAAUAUUUCAAAUAUUUAGUUUUAUGUUUAUUUUGACAUGAUCGAAAUAUUAUUGACUGGAAUCGAAUGAGUUCAGAUCCAGAAUAGAUAUCUGGCAUAGAUAAAUUUAGUUGAAUCCAAAUUAUUAUUAACCAAACAUGAUUCAUACUUGAAUGGGAUGGGACAUGACAUACGAGGCAAAAUCAGUAUGGCCAACAGAAUUUCGGUUAGUUACAUAAACCAAACCAAACUAAACCAAAUAAACCGGUUCAAUCAAAUUUGAUUUCGUCAACUCUUACUCUCUUUCUAAAACGCAAUCCUUAAACCUCUUCAUCUCUUAGCUACUCCUCCCAGCAAUGUCUCUCCUCCUCCGAACUCUCCCUCUCCGACCUUCCCUUUUCCUCUCCGCCACCGCCAACGCCGCCGUUCUCUUCCUCUUACCCAAACUGAGAAACCCACUUCCCCGAACCCGAAGAGCCUUCUCCAACUCCACCGCCGCAGCCACCUCCAUCGACUCCGUAGUGAAACCGCCUCCUCCUCCUCUUCCUCCGUCGGUUCUCAGGUGGGUUUCUCGCACAGAGCUUUGCGGUGAGUUAUCAGCCGAAGACGUUGGAAAAAGAGUCCACCUUUGCGGGUGGGUCGCCCUCCACCGAGUCCACGGAGGUCUCACUUUCCUUAACCUUAGAGAUCAUUCCGGCAUUGUCCAGG